ensembl:lincRNA Gm6270 predicted gene 6270
AAAAGCUUUUCACCAAAGAAGCUACAAAGGAAAGCUAGCAUUCUUUUCUUUAAGUUACCCUUGCAGCCUGGAUGGGGGUGUGGAGGUGAGAGGUGGGGGAGGUGACCAGCUGAAUGACUCUAGGCAAACUACUUAGAUAGUUCUAGCCAAUUACUACAGUUAUAGGCAAUGGGAUGGAAGAGAAAGUCUACAGGACAGAUUUCCAAGAUAAUUUUGCUCUCUAUCAAAGGAUCAAUUUCAAGUGGUACCCUCCUUUUUUUUUUCUUGCUUUGACUAUGGGUAUGAUGUCCAGAACUACUGCAGGCAUUUAUCAACCAUAAGGUGAUGAGCAAAUUAGAAGCUGAAUCUUAUCCACAAUGGCCCUGGCCUCUUCAUGCUGAAGAAACACUGGCAGCACCCAUGUAUCAGGCUUCUUGCUGGUUGUACUGUGUGCCCCUGAUAUUUUUUGGCCUAACUGCAUGCAGGAAGGCUGACUACAGCAGAGAAAAGCCUGUUAUUAAGAUGGUGGCUAAGGAACCACCUUAAAUAAAUCUGCAACUAUUCCAUAAUCUACCACUUGG